rnacentral:rRNA from 1 species
UUUUAUGAGAGUUUGAUCCUGGCUCAGGACGAACGCUGGCGGCGUGCCUAAUACAUGCAAGUCGAACGCUUCUUUUUCCACCGGAGCUUGCUCCACCGGAAAAAGAGGAGUGGCGAACGGGUGAGUAACACGUGGGUAACCUGCCCAUCAGAAGGGGAUAACACUUGGAAACAGGUGCUAAUACCGUAUAACAAUCGAAACCGCAAGGUUUUGAUU